rnacentral:lncRNA from 10 species
AUCUCUCUCUAUCUCUAUCUAUCUCUCUCUCUCGAUCUCUCUCUCCCUCCCUCCCUCUCUCCCUCCCUCCCUCUCUCCCUCCCUCCCUCCCUCUCUCCCUCCCUCCCUCUCUCCCUCCCUCCCUCCCUCUCUCCCUCCCUCCCUCUCUCCCUCUCCCUUCCUCUCUCUCCCUCUCUCCCUUCCUUCCUCUCUCCCUCUCUCUCCCUCCCUGUCUCUCCCUCUCCCUCUCCCUCUCCCUGCUUUCUCCCCUCUCUCUCUCUUCUCUCUCUCUCCUGCUGCCAGGUAAGACGUGCCUGCUUCCCCUUCACCUUCUGCCAUGAUUGUAAGUUUCCUGAGGCCUCCCCUGCCAUGCAGAACCACGAGUCAAUUAAAACUCUUUUCUUUAUGAAUUACUCAGUCUCAGUAUUAUCUUUAUAGCAGUGUGAGAAUGGACUAACACAUCCCCAGAUAUCCCUCCUGUGAUCUGGUUUCAAGUCUGUUCAUCCUUCUGGCUGCUCACUGCUGACGUGCUCAGUUUCAUGUGUGGCCCUCAGAGCUGACCUUGGCCUUCCUGGACUUGUCUGGAUAUGACUGUUGGUGCCACAGUUUGUUGUUCUCUACGCCAGCUAGUCUUCAAUCUGGUCUGGUGUGCAAGCUCCACCUCGAGUCCAGUCCUGCCUCCAACCUCAUCUAAACAUAGAAAACAAUGGGACAAGCCAUCUCCUGCCUCUGAGCCUCAUUUCUCAUCUGUAGCAUGGACAUCGUAGUAGGACACCUUCCAGAGUCGAGUUGAGAA